UACAGGAUGAGACGAGUUGCAAUGAA
rnacentral:piRNA from 1 species